CUUAACACAUGCAAGUCGAACGAGAAGUCAUCCUUCGGGAUGGCGGGCAGCGGCGAACGGGUGAGUAACGCGUGGGAACCUGCCCUUCGGUACGGGACAACCAUGGGAAACUGUGGCUAAUACCGUAUAUUCCCUAAGGGGGAAAGAUUUAUCGCCGAGGGAUGGGCCCGCGUCCGAUUAGCUUGUUGGUGAGGUAACGGCUCACCGAGGCAACGAUCGGUAGCUGGUCUGAGAGGAUGAUCAGCCACACUGGGACUGAGAUACGGCCCAGACUCC
rnacentral:rRNA from 1 species